GUCUUUGUGGUGUAACGGUAGCACACUUGGCUCGUAUUCGAGAGGUCCAGGUUGGAGUCCCGCCGACGACA
rfam:Stegodyphus mimosarum contig172335, whole genome shotgun sequence.